AGGACGAACGCUGGCGGCGUGCUUAACACAUGCAAGUUGACGGUAUGACAUGGAAGCUUGCUGAAGUGUCAUAUAGUAGCGGACGGGUGAGUAUGCAUGAGAAGCUGCCAUUGGAGGGGGACAACAGUUGGAAACGGCUGCUAAUACCCCGUAUGCCGGAGGGUGAAAGGGAGUAAUCCGCCCGAUGAGGUGCUCAUGUCCUAUCAGCUGGUUGGUGGGGUAACGGCCUACCAAGGCGACGACGGGUAGCCGGCCUGAGAGGGUGAACGGCCACACUGGAACUGAGAUACGGUCCAGACUCCUACGGGAGGCAGCAGUGGGGAAUAUUGGGCAAAAUGGGGGCAACCCUGACCCAGCGACGCCGCGUGGGGGAAGACGGCCUUCGGGUUGUAAACCUCUUUUGUACGGGAAGAAGGAAGUGACGGUACUGUACGAAUAAGUCCCGGCUAACUACGUGCCAGCAGCUGC
rnacentral:rRNA from 1 species